UUCGUUGUAGCAAUACGAUGGAAGUUUCAGUGGCGAUCGGGUGCGUAACACGUGGGCAAUCUGCCUUAAAGUGGGGGAUAGCUCGGCGAAAGCCGAAUUAAUACCGCAUGUGAUUAGCGGAGACAUCUUCGCGAAAUCAAAGCUGGGGCAACCUAGCGCUUUUAGAGGAGCCCGCGGCCUAUCAGCUUGUUGGUGAGGUAACGGCUCACCAAGGCGUUGACGGGUAGCUGGUCUGAGAGGACGACCAGCCACACUGGGACUGAGACACGGCCCAGACACCUACGGGUGGCAGCAGUCGAGAAUUUUUGACAAUGGGGGAAACCCUGAUCGAGCGACGCCGCGUGGAGGAUGAAGGUCUUCGGGUUGUAAACUCCUGUCAUUUGGGAACAAGGCGUAUUUAUUAACUGUAAGUGCGUUGAUAGUACCAGAAGAGGAAGAGACGGCUAACUCUGUGCCAGCAGCCGCGGUAAUACAGAGGUCUCAAGCGUUGUUCGGAUUCAUUGGGCGUAAAGGGUGUGUAGGUGGCGCGCUAAGUCGGGUGUGAAAUUUCGGAGCUUAACUCCGAAACUGCAUUCGAUACUGGCGUGCUUGAGGACUGGAGAGGAGACUGGAAUUCUCGGUGUAGCA
rnacentral:rRNA from 1 species